GACAGAGGGUGCUAGCGUUGUUCGGAAUUACUGGGCGUAAAGGGCGCGUAGGCGGCCAUGUAAGUCGGGUGUGAAAUCCCGGGGCUCAACCCCGGAAUGGCAUUCGAUACUGUGUGGCUUGAGACCGGAAGAGGUGGGUGGAAUACCCAGUGUAGAGGUGAAAUUCGUAGAUAUUGGGUGGAACACCGGUGGCGAAGGCGGCUCACUGGUCCGGUUCUGACGCUGAGGCGCGAAAGCGUGGGGAGCGAACAGG
rnacentral:rRNA from 1 species